rnacentral:rRNA from 1 species
UGAGGAAUAUUGGUCAAUGGGCGGAAGCCUGAACCAGCCAUGCCGCGUGCAGGAUGACGGCCCUACGGGUUGUAAACUGCUUUUCCGGGGGAAGAAUAAGGCCCACGCGUGGGUCGAUGCCGGUACCCCGGGAAUAAGGAUCGGCUAACUCCGUGCCAGCAGCCGCGGUAAUACGGAGGAUCCGAGCGUUAUCCGGAUUUACUGGGUUUAAAGGGUGCGUAGGCGGGCCCCUCAGUCAGCGGUGAAAGUCUGCGGCUCAACCGGAGGACUGCGGUUGAUACUGGGGGACUUGGAUACGGUCGAGGCGGGCGGAAUGCGUGGUGUAGCGGUGAAAUGCUUAGAUAUCACGCAGAACGCCGAUUGCGAAGGCAGCUCGCCGGGCCGUGAUCGACGCUGAGGCACGAAAGCGUGGGGAUCGAACA